GAUCCUGGCUCAGGAUGAACGCUGGCGACGUGCUUAACACAUGCAAGUCGAACGAAGCGCUUUUGGAUAGAUUUCUUCGGAUUGAUAUCCUUAGUGACUGAGUGCGGACGGGUGAGUAACGCGUGGGUAACCUGCCUCAUACAGGGGGAUAACAGUUAGAAAUGGCUGCUAAUACCGCAUAAGCGCACAGUACCACAUGGUACCGUGUGAAAAACUCCGGUGGUAUGAGAUGGACCCGCG
rnacentral:rRNA from 1 species